AUUGAACGCUGGCGGCAGGCCUAACACAUGCAAGUCGAGCGGUAACAGGAAAGCGCUUGCGCUUUUGCUGACGAGCGGCGGACGGGUGAGUAAUGUCUGGGGAUCUGCCCGAGGGCGGGGGAUAACCACUGGAAACGGUGGCUAAUACCGCAUAAUGUCGCGAGACCAAAGUGGGGGACCUGAAAGGGCCUCACGCCAUCGGAUGAACCCAGAUGGGAUUAGCURGUAGGUAGGGUAAUGGCCUACCUAGGCGACGAUCCCUAGCUGGUCUGAGAGGAUGACCAGCCACACUGGGACUGAGACACGGCCCAGACUCCUACGGGAGGCAGCAGUGGGGAAUAUUGCACAAUGGGCGCAAGCCUGAUGCAGCCAUGCCGCGUGUAUGAAGAAGGCCUUCGGGUUGUAAAGUACUUUCAGCGGGGAGGAA
rnacentral:rRNA from 1 species